rfam:Arabis alpina cultivar Pajares scaff_41277_1_contig_0, whole genome shotgun sequence.
GGGUGCGAUCAUACCAGCACUAAUGCACCGGAUCCCAUCAGAACUCCGCAGCUAAGCGUGCUUGGGCGAGAGUAGUACUAGGAUGGGUGACCUCCUGGGAAGUCCUCGUGUUGCACCCC